ensembl:misc_RNA Metazoa_SRP Metazoan signal recognition particle RNA
GCUGGGUGUGGUGGUCCACACCUGUAAUCUCAGCUACUCGGGAAGCUGAGGUGGGAGGAUUGCUUGAACCUAGGAGGUUGAGGCUGCAGUGAGCUGUAAUUGUGCCACUGCACUCCAGCCUGGGUGACAGAGCGAGACCCUGUCUCAA